rnacentral:rRNA from 1 species
AUUGAACGCUGGCGGCAUGCCUUACACAUGCAAGUCGAACGGCAGCACGGGUGCUUGCACCUGGUGGCGAGUGGCGAACGGGUGAGUAAUACAUCGGAACAUGUCCUGUAGUGGGGGAUAGCCCGGCGAAAGCCGGAUUAAUACCGCAUACGAUCUACGGAUGAAAACGGGGGACCUUCGGGCCUCGCGCUAUAGGGUUGGCCGAUGGCUGAUUAGCUAGUUGGUGGGGUAAAGGCCUACCAAGGCGACGAUCAGUAGCUGGUCUGAGAGGACGACCAGCCACACUGGGACUGAGACACGGCCCAGACUCCUACGGGAGGCAGCAGUGGGGAAUUUUGGACAAUGGGCGAAAGCCUGAUCCAGCAAUGCCGCGUGUGUGAAGAAGGCCUUCGGGUUGUAAAGCACUUUUGUCCGGAAAGAAAUCCUUGGCUCUAAUACAGUCGGGGGAUGACGGUACCGGAAGAAUAAGCACCGGCUAACUACGUG